UACGUAGGUGGCAAGCGUUAUCCGGAAUUAUUGGGCGUAAAGCGCGCGCAGGUGGUUUCUUAAGUCUGAUGUGAAAGCCCACGGCUCAACCGUGGAGGGUCAUUGGAAACUGGGAGACUUGAGUGCAGAAGAGGAAAGUGGAAUUCCAUGUGUAGCGGUGAAAUGCGUAGAGAUAUGGAGGAACACCAGUGGCGAAGGCGGCUCACUGGACCGGUUCUGACGCUGAGGCGCGAAAGCGUGGGGAGCAAACGGG
rnacentral:rRNA from 1 species